UGUCAAAGAUAGAUUCGGAUGAAUCGUGUAGCGCUGUAUCGAAUGUCAUCGAGUGUCGAAUCAACGAAUGACAAAAAUCCUCCUGCCACUCGCGUUGGAAGGUAAUCCACAACGAACGGAUUACCUUCCAACGCGAACAUUCGACACUCGACAUUGGAGGUUCGUAUCUCGUCAGUGGACUACACGUUGCGUCGAAUCAUCGAGCGUCCAGCAUUCGAGGGUGUUCCUAGCAUCGUGUAGCGCUGGCUUAAUCCCAGGAGAAUUCAACAAGACGACGGAAGCAGAAUAAUUUGCAAGGAAAAGAAAGACGAAGCAUCCUAUUUCUCAUUCUCUUGGGUUGGCCAUACUAUUAUGUUGUCUUUCUGUGUGGAUUUUGUUUGUGCUCUAAUUGCAGCUAUUCCUACAAGCAACGUCAAGAUACCCGGUGAUUUCACAAACGUUGCAUCUUGUAUCUAAGAUUAUCUCCAGGACAUGUUUCGAAUUUGUGGUAUAUACGGUACCAUUUAGGGCAACUAGAACGUCGACCAGCUCUUUGUUUUUUUUAUAUGCUAUUCUCUCUUGUUUAGUUUGUGAUCGAUGAUUAGAUGCCAUGUACCCACCUUUUGUAUAUUAUUCAAUGAGCGAUGCGAGCUGUUUUCGUGCUACCGUGAACACCCGACGUGACCCAGAUGGUAUCGCUCCCGUUUCGAACGCCUCCUCACGUGUGAUUGACUGGCUGAUAAAAUUUGUUUCGUAUCAUAAUAUCCGUGUUGAUUUGCCCAACACCUUGAUACGCAUGCCUUUUAAAAGCUGCAUUCUGAUAAACCUGUCUUCGUCGGCACUGUUGUAUUGCAAAGAUUAACUUUCGCCGACAAUCUUGCGUAGAAUUGGUUCAUCUAGUCCUUGGUGUAUAGACUAUCUUGCAAUAUAUAAAUAAAUAAAUACAUAUGGUA